rnacentral:misc_RNA from 1 species
GGUAUGGACACCACCCAGGAGAUGGAUACCACCCAGGAAGAGGAGCCUCCCAAGAAGAAGAAGAAGAAGACUAAGGUGGAGGCUGAGGAGGUUGAUGAACCUGAAGAAGACCUGUCAAAGAAGAAGAAAAAGAAGAAGAAGAAUAAGGAGUAAUGGUUGAAGGGGAAUGCAAAAUUCUAUGGAAAUUUGUCACAUACCAUAAGAAUUCAUUCCAGCAUGUACUAGUAUUUCAUUUAUAUCAAAUUUUAUUGUAAAUAAGUGAACAGCUGGAAUCAAUUUUCAGUUUAUUGCACAUCACUUUACAUAAACAUGAAAAUAUCUUCUUUUAAAAUGCUGGAAUGAAAAACAGAUCCAUAUAUUGCAUAUAAAAUAGUAAUGUUUUAAUAAAACUGAUAGAAAA